UCCCUUAGGAGGCGGUGACCAUCUGCCCGU
rnacentral:piRNA from 1 species